rnacentral:rRNA from 1 species
UACGAAGGGGGCUAGCGUUGUUCGGAAUUACUGGGCGUAAAGCGCACGUAGGCGGACUACUAAGUCAGGGGUGAAAUCCCGGGGCUCAACCCCGGAACUGCCUUUGAUACUGAUAGUCUCGAGUCCGGAAGAGGUGAGUGGAAUUCCGAGUGUAGAGGUGAAAUUCGUAGAUAUUCGGAGGAACACCAGUGGCGAAGGCGGCUCGCUGGCUCGAUACUGACGCUGAGGUGCGAAAGCGUGGGGAGCAAACAGG